UACGUAGGUGGCAAGCGUUGUCCGGAAUUACUGGGUGUAAAGGGAGCGUAGGCGGGAAGGCAAGUUGAAUGUUAAAUCUAUGGGCUUAACCCAUAUCAGCGUUCAAAACUGCUUUUCUUGAAUGAAGUAGAGGCAGGCGGAAUUCCUAGUGUAGCGGUGAAAUGCGUAAAUAUUAGGAGGAACACCAGUGGCGAAGGCGGCCUGCUGGGCUUUAAUUGACGCUGAGGCUCGAAAGCGUGGGUAGCAAACA
rnacentral:rRNA from 1 species